GUUUGACGAAGUCAGAAAAAAUGCACAGCUGAACAUGGAGCAGGAUGUGGCGCCUCACUAGGCUUUGUACCUACCUCUUCUAGGUUAUCUAUCUCUCCAAAGAGUCGGAGGAUGAGGGAGGAAGGCACGGUGAAGAUGGCUCCCGUUUUCCGCCUUCAGCAGUUCUGGAUGGCAGUCCUGUUUACUGAGAGCGCCGGGAUAAUAACAGGUUUAGGGUACUUGGGGACAUUUAAAUGCAGAGAAUAAAUAGGUAUCUGGAUACA
rnacentral:lncRNA from 1 species